AGAAGUAUUCUUGCACUGACAGGGCGCAGGUUGUGUCUGUGUCGUUCGCGCAAGAGCAAAGUGCAGCUGAGAGGGAAACGCAAAGUAGUCUGAUUAUCCUGCUUACACAUAUUACUACUUCAAUAGGCAGACGCAGUCACAACCAAAGUGCGGUCGCCGUCGCGAAGCCACAAUUUCCUAUUUUGUGUCGAAAAAUAAACUAACAAAUAAAAGGCAGCCCACUCAAUGUGAUAAUUUCGGUACUUAAUUACAUACAAAUACACAUAGUACACAUCUGUGUGUAGACUCGCGUACGAGUAAAGUGAUCAAAAGUGAGCGGCAAAAACAGCGUUUAAUUAAUCUACAAGAAAAUAAGAGAAGCAAACACAGUUCCUUAGUCCCAAAACAUAAUGAGAAAUCUAAAUAAAUUCGCACUGGCAAUCCUCUGUUGCUGCCUUGCAGCCCUGCCCCAAUUUGGUGCAAGAAGACUGCUCGAGUUUAGCACGGAGAGCCCAAAUGCAAUUGCCGAUGAUGAAUUUGGAACCUACAACUUUACCUCGUGUCAAAUUUAUUGCUAUGGCUCGCUAUUGGACACCGUACAAAUGGCAAAACUAUUCGAGGAUUCAAAGACCUUUGUCGACAUGAAACUUUUGUUUUCACCUCAGAAAACCUUGGAGGACUUUGAUGCUUUUAUGGCAGCAAAGAAUAAUACCCCCAGCAGGGAUGAAAUCCGCGAGUUUGUCGAUGCCCAUUUCGGUGCGAAGGGCACAGAGUUGGAUGUUUGGACACCCACCGAUUGGAUUGAGCAUCCCGGAUUCAUUGAUCUCAUUCACGAUCCGGAUCUAAAGCAAUGGGGCGUCGAUCUGAAUAAUAUCUGGAAGGAGCUGGGUCGUAAAAUGAAGGACGACGUGCACAAGAAUCCCGAUUACUAUUCCAUCAUCCCCGUUCCCAAUCCGGUUAUUGUGCCAGGCGGUCGCUUCAUUGAGUUCUAUUAUUGGGACUCCUACUGGAUCAUUCGUGGUCUGCUGCACAGCGAGAUGUAUACCACCGCUCGUGGCAUGAUUGAGAACUUCCUGUCGAUCGUGCAGCGCAUCGGAUUCAUUCCCAAUGGCGGUCGUGUCUACUACUGGGGUCGCUCCCAGCCUCCACUACUGACGGCAAUGGUAAAGAGCUAUGUGGACUUCACAAAAGACGAUCUGUUUGCCAUCAACGCACUAGAAAUUCUGGAACAUGAGUUUGAGUAUUUCAUCAACAAUAAUACAGUCCAGGCCAAGGGUCACAAUCUUGUUAUAUACCGCGACACCUCAACCGGCCCACGUCCCGAAUCGUAUAGUGAGGAUGUGGAAACAUCGCAAAGCUUUACCACAAAGGAAGCCAAGGAGGAUCACUACAGCGAACUCAAGUCAGCUGCCGAAUCGGGCAUGGACUUUAGCUCCCGUUGGUUCAUCAAUGCCAAUGGCACCAACGAGGGCAAUCUGACCGAUGCCAAGACUCGCUCCAUUGUGCCCGUCGAGCUGAAUGCAAUUCUCUACUGGAAUGCCAAAAUGAUUGCCGAGUUCCACUCUAAGGCAGGCAACAUUGAAAAGAUGGUGGAAUACGAGACCAAGGCGCAAAAGAUUCAAGAGGCAAUUCAAGCAGUCUUGUGGAACGAGGAAGCCGGCUGCUGGCUGGACUAUGAUUUGAUCAACGAGAAGCCACGCAAUUACUUUGUGCCAACUAAUCUCUCCCCACUGUGGGUCAAGGCCUACAACCUUUCCGAAUCCGAGAAGAUUUCUGCCUCGGUUCUCAAAUACAUUGAAGCCAACAAUCUCGAUUCGUUUCCAGGCGGCGUACCAAACACACUCUACAAUACCGGUGAGCAGUGGGAUCUUCCCAAUGUGUGGGCGCCUAUGCAGUACAUUCUGGUCGAGGGUCUGGACAACCUAGGUACUCCCGAGGCAAAGGCGUUGUCACAGCGCUGGGGACAACGCUGGGUCAAAUCCAACUUCGAGGCAUAUCGCGAAACACUUGCGAUGUUCGAGAAGUAUGAUGCUGAGAACUUUGGAGGACAUGGCGGUGGUGGUGAAUACGGUGUGCAGACGGGCUUUGGCUGGAGCAAUGGUGUGAUUAUCGAAUGGCUGGCGAAAUACGGUCGCCAGAUCUCGCUGAGCAAUACGGGAGCUGCAGGUGAUGAGGAGCAAUAGAAUGUGUCCUAGCUAUGCCAAGCACAAUCGACGCUAUCUAUCAUCAUUGAAUUUACAUCAUAAAUCCGUGGAGCCAGUCCAGACUCUUUUUGUUGGUCUGGUUCAUGUACACAUACCUAGAUUUAAACUGUUUCUCGCCGAGAUGCUCAAAUAUCUAGUUGAUAAAAAAACAAAACAAACAGAAAAAAACGUAUUACAUAUAUAAGAGAACCAUCGAAAGCGCGUCUUCACAUUGUCCAUCACAUAGUCUAAGCACACUCGCCGUCAUUUUCCCCCUUUGUCGCGCUGUCGCUCUCUAUAUAUAUCUUACUGUCUUUAACUUACUAUAUAUGUCUAUGUCUCUCGCUGCAACGAUGUCUUCGACAAAAGAAUAAGAACUAAAACUGUCAACUACUUAAGUUCAACAUCCAGCAUUCACACUCAGCAAGCACCAAGGACUCGCAUAACCAAUAUUGAAUUGAUGUACCGGAUAAUGUGAUCUAAUCCAAGACACGAUCGCCACACAAACACACACACAAAUACACACACGCAUAUGUCUCUCUUUAAUACAAUUUCGCUUAUCAUUUUGUCUUCGCCUUCGAGUCUGACUUUGCCUUCGUCUCGCCAAGUCUCUUCGCCUCGCAUCUGUGUCUGUUCUAUCAAGUUUCAAAGAGUCUCGCCAAAUUCUUAACCUCGAAGCUGUCGACUGAUUACCGUGCUUGGAGCGACAGCUGUGGCGAUAGUUGGCGCAUUCGCCGGACGCUUCAUUUGGUGAG